AGCACCGACGUGCAAUGGCGUUCAGGCCCAACCCGGGAGAUGGGGCGGAGGCGGGGUGGCGAUGACGUGCCACCCCUUCUCCGUCCGGGUCACCCCCCGCCGCCCCGCCGGAACACCGGCGUAUGGGACGACGGGAGGAAGACUACCCGGUCCGGUGAGGGGAGCAAGCUCCCCCCUAUCGGCCCCGGAGGCCGGAGGUUUGAAGUCGGGGUACCUCAUCCCCUACCAGCGAUCGGCGGGCUCGUCCGCCACACGUGUGGUACGCUUGGGUACGAUUUGUAUAAUAAAAGUGUUUUUACUUUUCUCCUGCGUGCCUCAUGUGUGGAGAUAUUGCUUGCAAUGCAAAGUCCGUGGUUGUGAAUUCGCGUUAAGAAACGUCGUCUGCCGCGCGUGGCGCUCGCAAGCGCGGCUGACGUGACUGACGUUACCGACUUUAACGAGCGCCCGUAAAUAGAGUGAUAGAGUGAACCUAACCUUUGUGCCGAUUUAUUUAAUAAUAACGUGUUGUCUCGUUGUCUCUCAUAAUAACAACAAAAGUAAGUAUACGAACGUGCAAUGUGUUUUAAUAGUUAUCCUGGCGAUUUUAACAAUUGUCUAAUAUUUUAGGAAAAUGCUUAAAGUUCUCUUACACAGGUUAUCCAAUGACGAGAAGGUGAUACAAGUAGAAGUGCUGCAAACGCUAAUUGGUAUACUAAAAUGCCCCGACCUGGUAGAAAGCUUUUCGUCUUACAAUGAAUUAUUAAUACUAAAACUAAUUUAUACCUACAAAUCGGAUCAAAAAGUCGAAUCUUCCAGCAGUAGCGGCGGUAGGUCUCCAGUGAGUAUCGAUCGCGUUUUACUUUUUAACUAACAGGAAUUAAAAGUGCUAUGAUUAUAUCUAUGGCGUCGUUCAUAACAGAUCCAUUGGAACGCGGAGAAGUGCGCGGCGACAAUGGCCAUAGUUUUGAAGCCGGAAGAAAUUAUUCAUUUAGUCUCCACUAUAAUCGCUACAGAACCAUAUCCAAUGAAUAUGGGCGCGAUAAAAAUGUUGCACAAGGUGGUGGAGCAAUGGGGUCGGGACGCUAUCGAACCUCAUCUUAGCAAGGUUAUGCCUGGCCUUAUAAAGGUAUUAAUUUUAUUUCUCUUCACAGGCUUACGAUGACACCGAAAGCGCGGUUCGCAAGAGCGCGGUCUUCUGCAUGGUGGCGAUCCACGUCGCUGUCGGCGAGAAGGUGCUGAAGCCACAUCUGAACUCCCUGUACUCCAGGAAGCUGAAGCAACAUAGACGAAGACUUUACCCCAGAUCUUUGUCUCAUCACACGUUAGUACUUCAAUACACUUACAUUAUAUUCCAUGUUAAGCGCAAGAGCAUCUUUACAAAAUUGUCUACUUAGUACGGGACCAUGUAACGCUCACGUGCAUGCAUCGACGCAACACACUUGCGGAGAGGGAGAGGAACAAUAGCCCCCCGAAUACUCGGUGCAAUAAUGGAACGGAUAGCACAGCGUAUACGGAAAAUUAUCUCCCACCUCCUAUUUUACCGCCGCCGCAGCAGCCUACUGUUUACAGUCAUCCCGAGGCUCGAGGACCAUCUAGCUUCUACAGGGGACCAUGCCCAGUGCUGCCUAUAAUCGUAAUCUAACGAUUCACGCAACGUGCCUCGAUGUCAUAUUUUGUUUGAAUUUCAUGUAUAUUCGCAGGUAAAUUCGCUGAAUAAUCAGCCAGUAGACUCGAUGUCUUCGCUGAUGUUACCGUCGGUUGAUACAUCAACCGAUACACCAACAUGUGCAUCAUCAUAUGUAUCAUUACGAUCCGCAUCAACGGCCGUCGCAACGCCAUGCAUCAUCAUGUACACAUUAGUUUCCAUCCCCCUCAUAUGCAAGGAUCUGCAGCACACCAGAUAGUGCCGUAUGCACCGAGUAUGUCGGAAUUUGUAUUGCAAGGGACACGUCAUAUGCGAGACAUAUCUCGAUAGACAAUUACAUACGCAUUGCUGACUUUCGACGUAUGGCUCAUAUAAGUUGUGGGGCUACACAAGAGUCCAUUGAGAGCCACACAUUCCCUCACAAAUAUAAACGGGUAAAAAAGGUAGAAAAUAGGGAUUGUUUUUAUCGAUUGACCGUUUCACUCGACAAUUUUCACAUGUGCAAGGAUCGAUUCUAGGAGAGCGCGUUUAAUUUCGGCGCGCGGAAUCAUCCCAGGGCUAAAAUUAAUAUUAUAUUAUUUACUAUUUAAUGAUAAAGCUAUAAAUAUAGUUACAGAGAAUGCAUACAAUCACAAGAACUCGGUGACGGCUGACAUUUCCUCUGUCGCGCGUAGCACCAAAGGCAACGGCGUAUUUUUAUAAAUUAUAUUUGUUGAACGAUAUAUUGUUUAAUUUUGUUGAGACCUGCCUUUGGCUAUGCCCGACGAUAUAUACAUUGUGUUAUGCAUAUGCGAUUGUAUAUGAGCUAUAUACCAUUAAUUUCUCAAACGAAGAGUGACGUUUAACAAAAUUAUAGAAGAUAGAAGAAAUAUUUACACAGAUCUUGCGGAAGAGUCUGAAGCAUAUGUAAUGAAAUUUUUAUAACGUUUGCAAUGAUUUUUCUUUCUUCCUAUAAUUUUAUAUUUUAAUAAUUUUUAAUAAUUAUUAGCGUCACGCAAUAUGUCAAUGCAACAGCAAAACUCAGUUUGUAGAACGUGUUAAAGCAUUAACAUAGACGCACGGAAUGUUCAGCAAUCUAUCGGAAUCAAUUCAGUUAAAGCGCAGCUUCGAUAUGACAUGAAAUGCGCGGGAAAACUCGAAAGACCGAAUUAAUUCGAAGCGGACACGAAGGAGAUCGCACGAUCAAGAACGCGCGCGGAUAUCGGCACAAUUCGAGCGAAGAACGGAACAAGCGGACGUCAUAUUGGCUGUUCGUUUUAUAAAUGAGUUCACUCGAUUCAAUCAUCGCCUUAAAAAUGUAUACGAAGUAACAGUAAGGUCUAUCUAAAUAAUAAUCAUGUUAGAGGGUAAAUUGUAACAAAGAUUUUAUGAGCGGCGACACGAGCGACGAGACUAACGAGAGAGGACGAGAGUAAGUGCGUGCAUGCAUGUGCGUGUUGUAUGUGCCUGUAUGCGUGUGUACAUGUUGAAUGUAAAUGUGUAAAAUGCGUGGGUGAACAGUAGCAAGGGAUGAAACAAUGUAUAACUAUUGUAUAAUUACGAACGAUGGAUAAUUAAUUGCUACGACAUCGACUAUUUGCGACGAUGAUCAUAAUAAUGGCUAUUCGCACUUGUUGCGAAGUACAAUUUUACGCUAUAGAGCUCGCGAGAAAUAGAGAAGGCUUCAAUGACGGCGUGCGAGAAAAAUACAAACCGAAAAGGACUGUAAAAAAAUAGCUAGAUGCGAUGUCAACUAGUUACGUUAACACUACUGAAAAACGAUUCAGAGAUUUAUAAUGUGAGAGACAUUUAACGUGAGAGAGACAUUUGAUACCUGUAUAAUAAAAGAUAUAUACACGAUAAUGUAGACAUUAAAUUAAUUUAAAUAGGUUCCUCUUAAUGACAAAACGAACUAUCUCUUCUUAAUUUCAUGUAACAUACUAUUACGGAAUUCGAUAGUAUGAUAGAGUACUACAAAGAUCGCAAAUGGAUCAGAAACAUAACACCCAGUGGCCAGAAAGAAAUAGAAUUACUUACUAAUAAAAACCCGCGGGGUUUAAUGGAUCACUGUAAAUUCUUGUAAAAAUAAUUGAACACUAGGAUAUUUAUAAUACAAUUUCUAAAGUUA